GGUGAACGCUGGCGGUAGGCCUAACACAUGCAAGUCGAACGGCAGCACAGGAGAGCUUGCUCUCUGGGUGGCGAGUGGCGGACGGGUGAGGAAUACAUCGGAAUCUACUCUGUCGUGGGGGAUAACGUAGGGAAACUUACGCUAAUACCGCAUACGACCUACGGGUGAAAGCAGGGGAUCUUCGGACCUUGCGCGAUUGAAUGAGCCGAUGUCGGAUUAGCUAGUUGGCGGGGUAAAGGCCCACCAAGGCGACGAUCCGUAGCUGGUCUGAGAGGAUGAACAGCAACGCUGGAACUGGGACACGGGCCAGACUCCUACGGGAGGCAGCAGUGGGGAAUAUUGGACAAUGGGCGCAAGCCUGAUCCAGCCAUACCGCGUGGGUGAAGAAGGCCUUCGGGUUGUAAAGCCCUUUUGUUGGGAAAGAAAUCCAGCUGGCUAAUACCCGGUUGGGAUGACGGUACCCAAAGAAUAAGCACCGGCUAACUUCGUGCCAGCCGCCGCAGUAA
rnacentral:rRNA from 1 species